rnacentral:rRNA from 1 species
CGACCGCUGGCGGCGCGCCUACCACAUGCAAGUCGACCGAGCGAGAGAGAGCUUGCUUUCUCGAGCGAGUGGCGAACGGGUGAGUAACGCGUGAGGAACCUGCCUCAAAGAGGGGGACAACAGUUGGAAACGACUGCUAAUACCGCAUAAGCCCACGACCCGGCAUCGGGUAGAGGGAAAAGGAGCAAUCCGCUUUGAGAUGGCCUCGCGUCCGAUUAGCUAGUUGGUGAGGUAACGGCCCACCAAGGCGACGAUCGGUAGCCGGACUGAGAGGUUGAACGGCCACAUUGGGACUGAGACACGGCCCAGACUCCUACGGGAGGCAGCAGUGGGGAAUAUUGCACAAUGGGGGAAACCCUGAUGCAGCGACGCCGCGUGGAGGAAGAAGGUCUUCGGAUUGUAAACUCCUGUUGUUGAGGAAGAUAAUGACGGUACUCAACAAGGAAGUGACGGCUAACUACGUG